rnacentral:rRNA from 1 species
UACGUAGGGUGCGAGCGUUGUCCGGAAUUACUGGGCGUAAAGAGCUCGUAGGUGGUUUGUCGCGUUGUUCGUGAAAACUCACAGCUCAACUGUGGGCGUGCGGGCGAUACGGGGCAGACUAGAGUACUGCAGGGGAGACUGGAAUUCCUGGUGUAGCGGUGGAAUGCGCAGAUAUCAGGGAGGGAACACCGGUGGCGAAGGCGGGUCUCUGGGGCAGUAACUGACGUGAGGGAGCGAAAAGCGUGGGGGAGCGAACAGG